rnacentral:piRNA from 1 species
UGAUAAGUUGUUGAGACAUAGUCUUUUAGG